CCUACGGGAGGCAGCAGUGAGGAAUAUUGGUCAAUGGCCGCAGGGCUGAACCAGCCAAGUCGCGUGAGGGAUGACGGUCCUAUGGAUUGUAAACUUCUUUUAUAAAGGAAUAAAACGAGGCACGUGUGCCUUUUUGCAUGUACUUUAUGAAUAAGGAUCGGCUAACUCCGUGCCAGCAGCCGCGGUAAUACGGAGGAUCCGAGCGUUAUCCGGAUUUAUUGGGUUUAAAGGGAGCGUAGAUGGGUUGUUAAGUCAGUUGUGAAAGUUUGCGGCGCAACCGAAAAAUGGCAAUUGAUACUGGCAGU
rnacentral:rRNA from 1 species